AACAAACUUUUGAAAAUAUUAUUUAAAAAAAUAAUAAGUCUACAAAUAUCAAAACGCGAUACAAUUUGGAAAUUACGAAAUAAUAUACAUGAAGUUAACACGCUGGCCUACACAAGGCGUUAAACUGUAGACUUCAAAAUAGCGACAACCAAACAAACGAAGCAGUUAAGAUUAAAAGAUUACUGUCAAAACAAAGUUCUAGUAGAACAGCUAACACUUGACUGUACCAGUGUCGAGACCAGAAUGCAACAUAAUGCACCAAGCAUAUGGAAUGCAGUGGCCAAAGAAAAUCAAGCAGCAAUCGAGAGCGUGGAAAAGGUCAAGAACUACAGCUUAGCAGGAGGGAAGUAGUGGUACUCAAGAUCAUCAAUAGAUGUCACUGGCUGCCAUCCUGUGAGUACCACCUCCUUCCCUGAAUCUGGUGGUGUUGGAUUCCUGAAAUAAGUUAUGUCCUCAUUUAGUAAACUCUCAAAUAAAAUGUCAAAUGAUGAGUCUACCUGUUGGUAUGUAGGCCCUCACCCAGUGCGUGCAAAGUUGGUCCACAUGUGAAUGAGACAGUCAACCAUCUGCUCUUCCUCCGGUGUGGCAGUGAAGUUGCCAAAGAUCCUUCCUGAAGGGAACAGGGCUCCAUCUCCAGAGUUGAUCCCUGUCAACCAAGGAAUGGAGAGAGGGCUUUCCUGAAGGAGAUGUAAUGGUUCAGCAGGCAAGA